AUGCUGAAGCCGCAGCCCGGAGAGGAGCUGUCUGAGUUGGCGGCGCCCCCGAGGGAAGGGCAGGCGCUGGGCUCAUCUCUGUGUCUGCAGGGAGGAUGGGGAGGCAAGAGUGCAGCGCGCCGGGGCCGGGACACCGCGCGGUCUUGCCAGUCCAGGGAGCCCUGGCAAGGGCUCCCGCNCCUCUUUUCUCACCUCUCCAUUGUCCACCUUACAGUAGUGUGUUUUCUUGUCUGUCUGUAUUUUAACGGCUCAUUUAUUUAUUUGGUAGUUCUGCUUCCCAGGUGGCACAGUGGUAAAGAAUCGCCUGCCAAUGCAAGAGAGGUAGAUUCGAUCCCUGAGGAAGAUCCCAGGAAGAGGAAACGACAACCUCCUCCAGUAGUUUUGCCUGGAAAAUUCCAUGGAGAGGAGUCUGACGGGCUACAGUCCAAAGGGCUGAAAAGAGAGAUGACUGAAGGACUAAGCACACACACUGCACGUGAAAUCUCAAUUCCCCCACCAGGGAUUGAACCCAGUGACUUCUGCAGUGGAAGAGUGUAGUUCUAACCACUGGAUUACCAUGGAGUUCCUCUUGCAUGCUUUUCCAGUUCCAGAAAACCAGGUAGUUCGCAAUCUAUGUAUUUUCUUCUGCCCUCUCCUUGAAUUACAAAUGUUAGUCUCCCCUUUCUUUGUGUGAAGAGCAAUCGUUUAAAAACUGUAAUAACUGUCAGGGAAAAGUUCUCAACUCUAUGCAUAUCAUUGUUUUAAAAAGAUUAUAUUUGUUUGAUAUUCCAUACAAUGUAUUUUAUUUUGAUAUGUCAGUCGCCUAAACCCCAUGAAACUAUUUAAAUCUUUGUAUCUUGUCCCCUAGCAAAGUGUGACACUCAAGAAAUGUUUAUGUGGCUUAAAGGAACCCACGUUUGGUUACCAGUGACCCCGUGACGUCACAUACCUUGGGCUCGGAAUUCCUGAGCCGUAUCUCAAAAUCACCGUGCUUGCAAGUGCCUCCGGAGCACAAAUCCCUUUCGCAGGGUUUGAAAUGUACCAAGUCACUAUUUACCAGUCUUACGACAUAGCUCCAAGCCUGGGCUAACCCUGAUCCGUGAGAGAAACAGAAACUUAAUUUCUAGGAAAGAAAAGCCCGCCUGGGGGUGGGAGGGACGAGGGAAGCAGAACUGUGGGCGUCACAGGCUCUGCCAGAGCUCAGUCCGGCCCCCCCAGUGGCAAAGAAUCUGUCUACAGUGGGAGACACAGAAGACAGGUUCAAUCUCUGGGUCAGAAAGAUCCCCUGGAGAAAGAAAUGGCAAGCCACUCCAGUAUUCUUGCCUGUAGCUUCCCUGGCCAUCUACAGUCAUGGGGUGGCAGAGACAGACACUACUUAGCAACUGAGCAUGCAUGCUCAAUCAAAAAAAAAGUGCUCAAUCAAAAAUCCUUUUUA
rnacentral:lncRNA from 1 species